rnacentral:rRNA from 1 species
AGCUCCAAUAGCGCAUAUAUCAAAGCUGCUGCGUUUAAAAAGCUCGUAGUUGGAUCUCGGUUCCAGGCCAGCGGUCCGCCUCGGUGCGGACACUGCUCGACCUGUGUUCUACGUCGUGGUGGUCCCUUGGUGCUCUUGAAGGAGUGCUCCGGGCGGUCCCGAGCGAACGUUUACUGUGACACAAUUAGACUGCCCAAAGCAGGCGUAUCGCCUGAGUAAGUCCGCGUGGAAUAAUGGAAUAAUGGACGUCGGUUCCAGUUUCGUUGGUUUGCGAUCCAUUGAGGCAAUGGUUAAUAGGGACUGCCGGGGGCAAACGUAUUGCGGCGGGAGAGGUGAAAUUCGUGGAUCGCCGCAAGACGAACGACAGCGAAAGCAUUUGCCAAGAAUGUUCUCAUUA